CAUUUAAACCAGCUGACAAUGAGGUGGUUUCAGUUUGUCCAGACUGGGGGUUGUCAUCGUGGAGUAACGGAGGUUAAAUAAAGCUCCCACCUGUGCUGGUUUUAUCAGUCAACAGUGGCACUGAUGUCUUGUUUCUAUUUGUAGGAGGAGAUGGGAGUGUGAGGUGAAUGUUCGAGAAAAGAUGAACACUUAGCAGAUAGGUGAGCUAAUCGCAGAGGCCUUUCAGAGCUCCCGCUGGAACAAUCCAACAAUCACACAGACUGACACCCAACCAGCUGCCUGGAGAUGUGGCCGCGCUGCCCUGUCUGGCCUUCUGUCUGACAUUCCACCUCCCUGCCCAUAUCAAAGGCUGCCCAUCACCUCACAGGACUGGUGGCGGUACAGCCUUCCGUACCGGGAGUCGCCAUGGAAACCGACGGGCGCCUUCAAGGAUGUUGGGAGAGAAGAGCGGAGCUUGAAGCACCAAGUGACGUAAUGUUACGGAUGUGAGAGAGAGCGAGUGGGACCCUGAUGCUGCCUUCAAAUGCUCCUCGUAAAUUAGACGAAGCACUCCAACUGGCUGAGCGCAGCGAUUCACAGGGUUUUGAUUACUUAAAAAUGGAGCCAGUCUGACUGCAAAAUGAUAUUAGAAAGAAACUGUCAAUGCAUAAGUAUUGUAAGCACAUCUGCCUUUGGCCGAGGAAUAUAUAUGUUGAUUCAUAAAAAUCUGUUUUGCAUAAGAGACAAGCAUGUAUAGGUGUAGCAAGCUGGAGAAUUAUACACAGUUGAAGGAGGUUUUUAUAUUUUGUGAUGCUUUAUAGCAGUGGUUUUCAAACUUUUUUCAAAAUCUUAAAGCACACCUGUAUUUAUAUCUGUGCACAGCAGCUUUUAUGACAUAUGUUAUCAUUCUUAUUAUGACAUAAGACAAUAAAAAUAAUAAAAAAGAAGACAGGUAGCUCUCACUGGUGCUUUGUUGUAAUUUGCUCUGUACAAUAAAAUGAUCAAUUGUCCCACUCAA